AUCCAGUUGACGAGUCCAAAAUAGGACGAAAUACGCAUCUUGGCUGUAU
rnacentral:hammerhead_ribozyme from 1 species